AAUCAACGCUGGCGGCGUGCCUAACACAUGCAAGUCGCACGAGAAAGGGGGAGCAAUCCCUGAGUAAAGUGGCGCACGGGUGAGUAACACGUGAAUCAUCUACCUCCGAGUGGGGAAUAACUGAGAGAAAUCUUAGCUAAUACCGCAUAACACUCACGAGUCAAAGCAGCAAUGCGCUUGGAGAGGAGUUCGCGGCCGAUUAGUUAGUUGCGGGGUAAGGCCCACCAAGACGAUGAUCGGUAUCCGGCCUGAGAGGGCGCACGGACACACUGGAACUGAAACACGGUCCAGACUCCUACGGGAGGCAGCAGUGGGGAAUUUUGCGCAAUGGGGGAAACCCUGACGCAGCAACGCCGCGUGGAGGAUGAAGUAUCUUGGUACGUAAACUCCUUUCGAUUUGGGAAGAUAAUGACGGUACCAAUAGAAGAAGCCCCGGCUAACUUCGUGCCAGCAGCCGCCGUAAC
rnacentral:rRNA from 1 species